rnacentral:lncRNA from 1 species
GCUGAAUGGCCAGGAGUGGAACAUAAUUGGCAGCGGACAUGUCCAGACCACUGCCCCUGAUUUGGCCGGAAAUCUGCAGCAGAGGUGCGCCUGUUCUGCCACUGAUUUUGCCUCCAAUCUGCAGCGGAGUGACCUCUGUUUGGGGCCUGAAAUCGGUUGGUGUUUGAGCGCCAAUUACCUCUAGAACGUCCCCUGUUUCGGCUGUGAUUAGUCAUGGCAUAAUAAGCAGAAUUCGGAGGUGUUGGCAGCAAUGGUGGCUGCUGCGGCAGAGAAGAAGAAGACAGCAAUGAUGAAGAGGAUGAACCGACAGCCAUGGAGUGAAAGGAAUUCUUAUGCAGAAACUCAUGGGUAAGGAGAUGGCUAUGAAGAUCAACAUACGAUAGCGGUUCAGCCUUGGUUAUGAGACUAGUUACCAAGUCUUUGAACUCACCGCGAAGUCCACGAAACACAUAGAGAUUGAAAUCUUCAAGGGACAUUGGGCGACCAGCAGCAGCCAAUUCGUCAAAUAACAAUUUGGCUUGCUGCAUAUACAUACUAACCGAUGCAUCACCUUGUCGAAGGUCUUGAAAGGAGCCAUGUAGUUGCAUGAUCCAGGAAUUAGAUGGAGAGGCAAGUGCCUUCUCAAGCGUGCACCAAACACAAUCUGAAGUAGAACAAUCUACUACAAGAUGCAGCACAUCCACGGAAAGAAAGGAGAGUAGAGCACUCAAAAUAAGUUGAUCUUGUUGCUUCCAACGAAGAAAAGAGGGGCUGAUGGCAGAAGAAGAACCAGCCAAAGCAUCAAUCAUAUGAGAUGGAGGACACGGCAAGGAGCCGUCAACAAAGUGAAAAACACCUUGACCAAAGAGAUAUGGCUUCAUCUGCAUUCUCCAAUAAAGAUAGUUUGUGUUCAUAAGUUUUGUCGCACCCCAAAAAAAUAAUUCUAAAUUUCAAUUUGCGGGUUCGACUGGUGAAAAUUCUUAUUUUUUUUGUUCUUUGGAGUCGCCACCUAGUAUUUUGGUCACUAGGAACCUAACUGGUCUCAGAGAUCGGGUACGGAGACUGGUUGCGUAAAGGGAAGGUAUUAGCACCCCAAAUACGCCCUACCUAAGGUAAGCUGCAUUGUUUUAUUGUCUGAUAAAAAAAAAACUAAAGUGUUGUUGUGUUUUCCUAGUCGUUGAUCUGUAUGGUUCAAGAAAAAUCCUCCUCAGUAAGAGGUCUUUUAUCUUAUCGGGUAAAAAUCCUAACCGUUCUAACGUCCAUACCAAAAUUUUAUUAAUAAUACUUAGGAAUACGUUUUACGUAUAAAUUCGUAAUCCCAAAUACUAAAAUAAAACAAAAAGAUUUUUUAGAAUUUUUGAAAUAUUGGCCUAGUUCUCAUGGCUUGAAUAAACUGGUUAUUAAAGCCAAAAUGCAUGUUAAUACAUAUAUUGUUUUGAAAAUUUUCUUUGUUGUGUGAAAAUAUGAUGUUAUAAUAUUUAUGUAUAUAUAUUGGAGAGACUAGGCCGUAUUUUAAAACAAAAAUAAUUUUUAGAAAAUAUUAUUUUUUUUAUGCUUUGACGAAAAUCGGGUAUUUUAAUACUGAGCUUGUAUCCUUACGGUAUAAAAAUACAACCCAAUAUUAAUCCGCUUUUAAAAAAUAUGCAGAAAAAUCAAUAACAUUUUUUAGGGAAUUUUUAGAAAUUUUUUGAAAGCAAAAACAUUUUUUAUUCUGAAAAUCUUUGAUGUUUUGACGAAAACCGGGUAUUUUAAUACUGGUUUUAUAUCUUUACGGUAUAAAAAUACAAACCAAAAUUAAACCAUUUUGAUAAAAAUAUGCAGAAAAAUCAACAACAUUUUUAGGGACUUUUUAGAAUUUUUUUGAAAGCAAAAACAUUUUUUAUUCUGAAAAUCUUUGAUGUUUUGACGAAAACCGGGUAUUUAUAACACUGGUUUUGUAUCUUUACAAUAUAAAAAUACAAACCAAAAUUAAAACAUUUUUGACAAAAAUAUGCAGAAAAAUCAACAAUAUUUUUUAAGAUUUUUUCAAAAUAUUUAUUUUUUUUAUUAUUAUAUUUUAUAUAUAUACAUAUAUACACACAUAUAAUAUAAUAUAUAAUAUAAAAAUAAAAUAAUUCGGGCUGGGCCGGCCCAAAUAUCUGGGCCGGACUUGGCCCAGAGAGCUGGUAUGGGCCAGACCUGGUCUGGCCCGUCAGAUACAAGGCCGGGCCAGACUUAGUCUGGCCCAAAAAAAGAAAAAGAAAAAAAAUGUGCUGGGCCAGGAUCCACCUGGCCCAGCUACACAUCAACAGAGGGGGGGAAUUAAUUCCCCCUCCUCCCUGCAUGCAGAAUGUUCAUUCUGCAUGCAGGGAAAAAAAAUGAAAAAACUAACGAGAGGGGGGAGAAGAGGUGACCUGGCGUGGAGGAGGCGGUGCUGCGGUGGCGUGGCUUCCCGGGCGGCGCUGCGGCUCCUUCUCUCUUCGGUGUUCGGUUCUCUCUCUCUCUUCGGCCUCCUCUCUCUCUCCUCCCUUCGGGUUUUUUUUUUUUUUCUUUUCGUCUUUCUUCCCUAUUUAUAGGGGCAGAACCGUGGGGGACCAUCGUUAGUGCGGUGCAACGGCUGGUCGGCCAAUGCUAAAGGUGGUGGGGGCGAGGAGAGAGAGAGGCGCGGGAAGAUUUUCGAAUUUUUUCGUUUUCUGUUCUGUUAAAACGGGGGGAAGGAGGAAGAUGAACAGUGUCGUUCAAAACGACACCGUUCUGUUUUUUUUUUUUUUUUUUUUUUUUUAAUGAAACGGCGUCGUUUUGGGUAAAACGCGCCGUUUCAUUUAAAUGGCUAAACUUCAAAUCAGUCCCCAAAUUCGGUCCCCGCCCCUCUUGUUGGCCGCCUUUUUCACUUUGGUCCUUGGCCUCUGAUUUAUGCAAUUGAGCCCCUAAUUGAUCAAUAAACUUCCAAUUUCUUCAAUUAAGCCCCUGAAACAAAUCCAAACAGCCCCCUCUAUCUUUGCGCCUUCUCCAAAUUGGUCCCUGGUUUCGGAUUUUCACAAUUAAGUCCCUAAUUGGCCCUUAAACUUCAAUAUUUAUGCAAUUGAGCCCCUGAUUUGACCCAAUAAAUUCCUAAAAAAUAUAUUUUGGCCCCAGAACUUAAAUUUCUCAAAUUAAAGCCCAAAUUGACUUAAAAAUCAAUUUUUCUUGCAAUCAAAUCUUCUAUAAAUUCAAAUAAAAAUCCAAUUAAGUCCAUAAAAAUCCAAUUAAGUCCAUAAACAUCCAAAUUUGGGCUUUUCUCCUCAAAAUUCAAAUUUUCCUUCUCAAUAGGGCUUUCAUCCUUCAAGAAUAUACUGUCAAAAAUUUAAUCCUUGUAUUUUUGAAUUUCUUGACCAAUUUUCUGACUGUUUCCUGAGCGCUUCUGCCUUCUGUUAUUUUUUCUAAACUCUUUUGGCUAUUUAUUUUAUUUUUUCAUGGGGACCCAAAAUGGGUUACAACAAGUUUCAACGAACACAACAUGGUGGGUGUUGAUAGAGGAACCAUUGUUGUAGAUUGUGUUCCCAUGAGAGGCAAAGGAAUGGCAGAGUCAUGAGAAGAAAAAUCAGAAUUCGGAGGUGUUGGAAGUUGUUCUCGGCCAGCAGCAAGAAGAGGGUUGGCCGGUGAUGAUGCAGCACCGGUGGAGGGAGAGACGGCAACGGCGGCAGCAAGAGAGUCCAUGGGGGAGAAAAUUAGGGUUGGCUACAAAGAGAGAGAGAAAAAAUUAGGAGGCUUUGAUACCAAGUUGAGAAUAAUUAAGAAGCUUGACCUAAUAGGUUAGCCAACCCUUUCUAUAUAUAUGAGUAGGGCAAUAUACAAUAGUAAAGGUGGAGAUUACCACAUAAGAAUAUGACUACAAUAUUUCCUAUAUAAUAUAUUCUAUAAUAAUAACAUACACAUCUGCACGCACAAAUCUGUACCAAGGUCAUGUUUAAAUCUUGUGGUUACAAAAGCAUAAAAUUGAUGCAAAGAAACCACCGAAUAUUAGAAAAUGUGACAAAAGUAUACAGAUGAUAUGCUAUAAAUACAAAAUUUCCUUUGUAUGUGAUGCAUGGAGUUUCAUUUAUUUCACUUGGAGAGGUCUUGGUGAGUUACUAGGCACUGCAAAUGAUUAGGCUACACCAUCACGAAAGAAGAAUUCAAUGGCGGAAAUAAGGGAGAUGAUAUUUGGAAUUGCAGCCAUGCAGCCAAUUCACAUAGAACCUGAGUCAGUGAAGCCACCAAAACGUAGGAACGUGAAGAUAUCGAAAGAUCCACAAAGUGUUGCUGCACGCCUUAGAAGAGAAAGAAUAAGUGAGAGAAUAAGGAUACUUCAAAGACUAGUCCCCGGAGGGACUAAAAUGGACACUGCCUCUAUGUUAGAUGAGGCAAUUCAUUAUGUUAAGUUCUUGAAGACCCAAGUGCAGUCACUUGAGAGAGCUCAAGCUAAUAGGCCAACAGCAACAACUGGGAUUGGAUUUCCUGUGGCAAUGACUGCUUGUUUCAUGACCUUUUGUUUGAAACUUGUAUAUGUCUCUACUUGCUCGUGCUAGGAUUAGAUUUAGUAAAAAAAACUAAAAUUGAUGAGAGAGUCGGGAACUAAGGUAGAGCUAAGUUGACAGAAGCUAAAAUUAAUGGGAGAGUCGGGACAAAACAAGCAAUUGACCAGCCAAAUGAGUAAAUUUAAGAAAAACAAAACAUUGAAAGAUGUUGUUGGAUGUUUUGGGGGGGGGGGGGGGGGGUUGUUCGAGAAGAAGACACUCGAGAUCUAAACAUUUUAGACUAGUAUUCUAUGCAAUUCCACACCUUCGUCCCACUUGAUAGGUGCCAUGAACAUUGGUGUUCCCAAACAUUUAAUCAUGGGAACUUUUGUCCCAAUUCUUUUUCUAGAAACAGAAUAGAGACACCCAAGGAAAUUAAUUGACUGGUGCACUCCAUUCUUUCUUCUUCUUCUUCUUGCAUUGAAAAAAAAAACUCCAUCUCGUAGGAUAGCACGAGAAAUCAAAUUAUUAAUUUAGUAUUUUAUUAAAAACCACAAUCACACUUGCAACACGCAAAAUAAAAGAGCAUAUUUGUUUGAACAUUUGAUUUGAAUGCCGCACAGGAUACCAGGAACGGGCCUCAACGCAAGCAUUAAUUUUUCAAGAUAAGAAGGUUGACCCAACCUUAAUUGUGGUGGCUUUCAGAGGGACCAAACCCAUUUGAAGCAGAUGACUGGAGCACAGAUGUGGAUCUCUCGUGGUAUGACCUUAAAGGCAUCGGUAAGCUCCACCGUGGCUUCAUGAAAGCCCUAGGCCAACAAGAGAAUGGCUGGCCCAAAGAAAUUGAACAAGGCGGUGACCAUCUUUAUGCAUACUACGAAAUCAGACAAAUGCUCAGGGACAUAUUGCUCAAGAAUGAGAAGGCAAAAUUUAUAUUAUCAGGGCAUAGCUUGGGCGGGGCAUUGGCUAUACUGUUCGUGGAGUGUUAGCAUUACACGAGGAGGCUUGGUUGCUUGAGAGAUUGGAAGGGGUUACACGUUUGGGCAGCCCAGAGUAGGCGAUGGACAAUUUGGGGAAUUUAUGGUAGAUAAGUUGAAAGGUAUGAAGUAAGGUACAUGAGGCAUGUCUACAGUAAUGACAUAGUGCCUAGAUUGCCUAUGAUGACAUCUUCUUUUAUUCAGCAUUUCGGUCCCUCCAUCUACUUCAAUAGCUUCUACAAAGGAAAGGUCAGUCUUCUCUCGUCCUUUUAUUUUUGCUUGUAAAUUCCAACCCGAUGAUUCCUUUCUUUGACUCGAUUAUGUAUUAGCAGAACUCAAUAUUCAGUAAGAUUGUUGACAAGUCACUAACACAAUCAUGAAUGAUAAUUGUGAUUCGGGACACAGGUUAUGCAAGAAAGAGCCGAACAAGAACUACUUCUCUUUGUUGUUGAUAGUCCCGUACCUCAAUGCCUCUGGGAGCUUAUCAGAAGUUUUAUAAUCCUCUCCUCCAUGGCCAGGACUACAGAGAGAGUUGGUUUAUGACACUGCUAAGGCUCGCAGGAUUGAUAGUUCCAGGAAUACCAGAACAUAUUCUUCAAGAUUUGAUAAUUUCUACCUUGGGAUCCCUUCAACUCAAGGAUUCUCAGCAAGAACUUCACCAGGAGUAAGAACCGUUAAAUCAACACCGGCCGCAUAUAAUGAAACUGACCAAGUCAGCAUUGAUUACCAGUUCUUCUGCAAUUUGUUUAAUCUUCAAUGUUGUUUCUUAUUUUUUAAAAAAUCUGUUUAGAAUUUUUAUGGCUUAAAUAAUAAAGUAGCUAUUAAUUUCUAUUUUUAUGUAACUGUCUUGCUUAUAUAAAGCAACUCACUUAUGCAGAAUAAUUAUCAUCUUGUUUCCUGUUCUCCUACUUCUUUUAUUUUGUCCAACAGGAACAAUCAAUGAUCUCUUAACACUCUUGUGACAUACCAUUUGAAGAAACAAACAACUCUUAGUAGCAAUGGAUGGACUAUGUUACCAGGUGUGCUUAUCCUUACGUCCGAGAUAUGUAAUUUCCUCAAUAUUAUUGUUCAAUAAACAUGGAUACUAUGAGCAAUUAUGGUCCCUAAACGACCAUGCACCAGGGCAUUUGCCUUCUAUCGAACAUUUUAAAGUAGUAGUUUUUCUUGGGUCAUCCAACUACCCUGACGCCAAAUGAAGUCGCACGCGGUGGUUUCCUUGUCAUCAUUAAUUGUCGUCUUCUAUGAGCAAUUAUGUUGGAUGGCACAAUUCUACGACCUAAGUGAUGGUUUUAUAGCGUUGGUUGACCUUAAAUUUAGAUACAUCAUGCAACCAAUGGAUUGCCUUCUGAGUGUAAUCUUUCCUUUGUGCAAAAAUGGGGCAUUCUCUGACUAUCUGAGCUUAGGCUGAGCUUGGAUAAAUCCUCUUCUCGAAUAAUUUUUGUUUCUUUCGUACCAAAGGAGCCAUUUUUAUUUUUCUUUUCUUUUAUGUGGAAAAGCAUAUUUAGGAGAUUGUUGGGGAAAUGGUAAAUUUUUUAAAAAUAUAUAUAUAUAUCAAAAUAAUAUUUUUUUUAAUUUAUUUUUUAUAUUAAUUCGACACAAAAAAAAUUCAAAUCUUUUAAAAACAUGGUUAGACACCUUCUUAAAGAAAUGGAUCAAUAAUCAUCCAUGUGCAAAUCCACACGUAAUAACAGUUGAGAAUAAUUAGGAGGCUUAACCUAAUAGGUUAGCCCAACCCUUUCUAUAUAUAUGAGUAGGGCAAUAUACAAUAGUAAAGGUGGAGAUUACCACAUAAGAAUAUGACUACAAUAUUUCCUAUAUAAUUACAUUCUAUAAUACGCCCCCUCAAGCUGAGGGUGGAGGAUCAACCCGAAGCUUGAAUCUAAAAGCAGUAAAUGAAGCAGCAGGAAGUGGCUUAGUGAAGACAUCGGCAAGUUGAUCCUGAGAGGAAAUAAAACGAAUCUGAAUCUCCUUCUUCGCAACUCUAUCUCGGACAAAAUGAUAAUCAAUCUCAAUAUGUUUUGUGCGAGCAUGAAAUAUAGGGUUUGCGGACAAAUACGUGGCACCAAGGUUGUCACACCAGAUAAUAGGGGCAGAAGGAGUCGGAAUCUGAAGAUCCGUUAACAAGUACUGAAGCCAGAUAACUUCAGCCGUGCCAUCGGCUAAGGCUUUGUACUCAGCUUCCGUCGAAGAACGAGCAACAGUGCGUUGCUUACUCGAUUUCCACGAAAUUGGCGUCUGACCAAAGAACACAAGAUAACCACCUGUAGACUUUCUAUCCUCAAUACUACCUGCCCAAUCUGCAUCUGUAAAACCGUGUAAAGCAAAGGAAGAGCUGCGAGUAAUAUGUAAACCAUGUGAUGCGUACCACGGAGAUAACGCAAGAUGCGUUUCACGGCAGCCCAAUGGGAUUCUGUAGGAGCAUGCAUAAAUUGACAGACCCGGUUAACAGCAAAGCAAAUAUCCGGGCGUGUGAAAGUGAGAUAUUGGAGAGCACCAACAAGUUGCCGAAAACGAGUAGCAUCAGAAAACAAUGGAUCCGGCAUAAUGGUGGCUUUGGAUGCCGAAAUAGGAGUAUCAACUGGUUUACAGGAUAACAUACCAGCUCGUGUGAGGAUAUCAAGUGUAUAUUUAUGUUGACAAAGCAUAAGUCCCAGACCAGUACACUGCACUUCAAUACCCAAGAAAUAAUGAACAUCACCCAAAUCCCGAAGUUUAAAUUCUGAGCUCAGUAGCUGAAUGAUGUCGUUGUAGCAGAGUUCCAUUAUUACCCGUAAGCAGAAUAUCAUCAACAUAAACCAAAAGAUAACAAAUAUCACUACCAACCGAGAAGAUAAACAAUGAGGUAUCCACUUUAGAAGCACGGAAACCAAUGGAUAAUAGAAAAUCAUUCAGACGAGUGUACCAAGCCCGCGGAGCCUGUUUUAACCCAUAUAGAGAUUUAUGCAAUCGACAUACAUGACCUGGGAGUGCAGAAUCAACAAAACCUGGAGGUUGUUUCAUGUAAACCUCUUCAUCAAGGACUCCAUUUAGAAAUGCAUUAUGAAUGUCAAGCUGAUGAAUUUUCCAACCACUCGAAACUGCAAUGGAGAACACUAAGCGGACUGUUGCCUGUUUGAUAACAGGACUAAAAGUUUCUGAGUAAUCAAUACCUUCUUGCUGAGUGAAGCCCCUAGCAACCAGGCGCGCCUUAUACCUCUCAAUGCUACCAUCAGAUCUGCGUUUAAUUUUGUAGACCCAUCGGCUACCAACAACAUUCAUGGACGGAUGAAAUGGCACUAAAGUCCAUGUUCUGUUUGCGCGUAAGGCCUGAAUUUCCUCUCGCAUAGCAUUAUGCCACGCCUCAUAUCUGUUAGCAUCAGGAAAAAUAAGUGGCUCAUGCGAGGGAGGAGAAGUUACCCGACUGAAGGAAGCAGCAGAGGUGGCUGCCGUGGUGGUGAUCAGCGCUGUCUUGGGCUGUCUCGGACGAAGAACCAUGGGGUGUUUAGGAGCAGCUGGACAUGGAGUAGCAGCACCUGUACCUGGAAUGUGCUGAAGAGGAUAAGAGGAGAGAUCAACACAAAGUUGCAGACCAGGAGGUGAAGCCGGGGAGGUGCUGGGUUGUGCCGCUACUGAAUCCUGCAAGUCAGAACCUGUUCCUGCACAAUAAUCAUUGGAAAGACAAGCACGUGGUGAUAGUAUGGCUGUGUGGGGUGGUGAGGCAGGGUCGGCUGAAUCAACGGGCAGGGGAGCAAGCUGGGGGGUUGCGGCAAGGGGCAAAGGUGGGUUGUGUGUUUUGCCGAGUUGGGAAGGAAGAGGCUGAAAACAGGAAGGGGGUUGCAGUGAUGGAAGAUAGGUAGGUGGAGUGGGGGGAACCGAGGGUGUUGUUACCUGUUCAGACUUUUUAAAAGGAAAGACACAUUCAUGAAAACGAACAUGACGGGAGACAUAGACACGACCAGACUCUAAAUCAAGACACCGAUAACCAAGAUGAGACGAGCUAUAGCCUAAAAACACACAAGGAGAAGACCGAAAAUCUAAUUUAUGAGCAUGAUAUGGACGUAAAAAUGGAAAACAAAGACACCCAAAAGUGCGUAGAAAGUUAUAAUCAGGAGUGCGAUGAAACAGACACGCAAAAGGAGAUUUAUUUUGAAGAACAAGAGUAGGCAUGCGAUUAAUAAGAUAGACCGAUGAUUCCAUAGCAUAGUUCCAAAAACUCAAUGGGGCAUUACACUGGCAGUUUCGACAAUAUGUCUAUGACGACGUUCAACUGUGCCAUUUUGUUCAUGAGUAUGAGGACAAAUUAAUCGAUGAUGAAUACCAAUUGUUUGAAAAUAUUUAUUUAAUUUACGAUAUUCACCACCCCAAUCAGUUUGAACAGAUUUAAUUUUAAGAGAAAACUGACGCUCAACAAGUGUCUGAAAACGUUGAAACGUGGAAAAUACAUCAGAUUUCGCAACAAGCGGAUAAUACCAGAUAUAUUUAGUAUGUGCAUCAACAAAGAUAACAAAAUAACGAAAACCAUCAGAAGAAAACAUUGGAGCAGGGCCCCAAACAUCACUAAAAAUUAAUUCAAGUGGGGUAGAAGUUUUGUGACCCGUCGGUCGUAAUGACAAACGGGAUGACUUGCCUAAUGGACAUGCUUGACAUUGAGUAAAAGAUCGUUUAGACGUACAAAUAAUUUUAUUAUCAGAAACUAACAAAUUUAGAAUGCGAGGAGUUGGAUGACCUAAACGACGAUGCCACAAGUCGGCAGUCGCGGAAAUGCAAGGAGACCAAAAAGCUUGAGGAACUGACGUAGCCGAGGACUCGGAGAGAACAUAAAGACCAUCAUGACUCCGACCGGAAAGAAGAACUUCCUUGGUGACGAGAUCCUUCACAUAAAACACAGAAUCGUGAAAUUCAAAAUAAACAUGAUUAUCACGACAGAAUUUCUGAACAGAUAACAACGGUUUGGUAAUGUGAGGCACACGAAGAACAUUAGUUAAUGUAAACAAGCGUUUGGGGGAAUAUAAAGUAGUAUGUCCAACAUGGGAUAUGUCAAGGGCCUUACCAUCACCAACAUGCAAGAAAUCAUUACCAAGAUAAGGAGCAGAAUCAGUUAGAGUUGCAAGAUCAGGCGUCACAUGUUGAUUCGCGCCGGUGUCGGGAAACCAAGUCGUUGCAGCAGAAUCAUUCGCAACAGCAAGGUGAGCAGAGGGCUGCUGUGUGCUGCGCGAAACUGAUAGCAUUGAAGAGCUGAAUGGCCAGGAGUGGAACAUAAUUGGCAGCGACAUGUCCAGACCACUGCCCCUGAUUUGGCCGAAAUCUGCAGCAGAGGUGCGCCUGUUCUGCCACUGAUUUUGCCUCCAAUCUGCAGCGGAGUGACCUCUGUUUGGGGCCUGAAAUCGGUUGGUGUUUGAGCGUCAAUUACCUCUAGAACGUCCCCUGUUUUGGCUGUGAUUAGUCAUGGCAUAAUAAGCAGAAUUCGGAGGUGUUGGCAGCAAUGGUGGCUGCUACGGCAGAGAAGAAGAAGACA